rnacentral:rRNA from 1 species
GACGAACGCUGGCGGCGUGCCUAAUACAUGCAAGUCGAACGCAGUGGGGACGGGUGAGUAACACGUGGGUAACCUCCCAUCAGAGGGGAUAACACUUGGAAACAGGUGCUAAACCGACACUGUUGGAUGGACCCGCGGUGCAUUAGCUAGUUGGUGGGGAAACGGCUCACCAAGGCCACGAUGCAUAGCCGACCUGAGGUGGUGAUCGGCCACCUUGGGACUGAGACACAGCCCAUACUCCUACUGAAGGCAGCAGUAGGGAAUCUUCGGCAAUGAACGAAAGUCUGACCGAGCAACGCCGCGUGAGUGAAGAAGGUUUUCGGAUCGUAAAACUCUGUUGUUAGAGAAGCGGUGUCUAGCCAGAAAGCCACGGCUAACUACGUGCAAGCAGCCGCGGUAAUAC